UACAGAGGGGUCAAGCGUUGUUCGGAAUUACUGGGCGUAAAGGGCGCGUAGGCGGCCUGCUAAGUCGAACGUGAAAUCCCCGGGCUCAACCCGGGAACUGCGUCCGAUACUGGCAGGCUUGAAUUCGGGAGAGGGAUGUGGAAUUCCAGGUGUAGCGGUGAAAUGCGUAGAUAUCUGGAGGAACACCGGUGGCGAAGGCGGCACCCUGGACAGAGAUUGACGCUGAUGCGCGAAAGCCAGGGGAGCAAACGGG
rnacentral:rRNA from 1 species